UUCAAAAUCUAGGACUAGUCAUUUCCAGAUGGGAGGAGCUUGCUAUGAGAUAAGCGAAGUGCCAAAGGAUAGAAUGUAGACAAUGCUCUAUCAUACCACGCACAUUGCCUUCUGGAACCAAGGACUCCAUUCUCCAAUUGGGAGGAAUGGAUGGUUCACAGGUAACAGAAGAUUUCUAAGGACUGCAAAAUACUCUGAAAAAAAAACUGGAACAAAUAUCCAUUCUAAUUAGGCAAUAGCAUCAUAUGUUUAUAGCUCUAAUAGUUUCAUUCUGUGAAAAGUUUAGACAGUGAAAGCCUCCUGGGAAGUGUGACUUGAAAAGAGCCCAAGAAUUUCUGCCUCAGGGGGGCCUGAUGUAGCUGAAUCUUGUAUCUCAAUGACAAGUGAUGGUCUCCCCGGGAAGAUCUGACACAAUGGGCUGUGGCCUCAUGCGUCUGGAGCAAGGGGCACAUUGCACAGGGCCAACUAGACAGACUCACUACUUUUUAAUGGUUGGCCUAAGACGUGGUGACAUCAGUGCCACAAACUUUGCAAAGGAAGAAGCCGUCGGGACAUAAGACAAAAGGUGUCUCUUUGGAGAGCUGGCAGCACCAGAG